AUAGCUACUUGCAUCAUUGUAAAUAUGAUGCAAGAUCGACUAUGUCGAAUAAAAUUCUAGGUAGAAUUAUGAUAAUGACAUUGUCUGCCUAUGUGUCUUGACCAAAUUACGUGCCAGCUGUCGCGGUAAUACGUAGAAGACUAGUGUUAUUCAUGUUUAAUCGGUUUAAAGGGUACCUAGACGGUAAAUCAAGCCUAAAAAGAAGGAAAUAAAGGGACUAAUUUACUAGAGUUACUUAUGAGGGGGUAUUAAAGUACUGCUGGUGUAGAGAUGAAAUUCUGUCAUACCUCUUUUCAAUAGAAAAAUAAUGGCACAGGUAUAGGCGAAGGCAUCCCCUUAUGUGAUAACUGACGUUGAGGGACGAAGGCUUUGUGUAGCGAACAGGAUUAGAUACCCCAGUAGUCAAAGCAGAAAAUGAUGAAUGUCAUAGAUUAGAUAUAUAAGUUUAUUCUAUAAAUGAAAGUGUAAGCAUUCCACCUCAAGAGUAAUUUGGCAACAUUGGAACUGAAAUCAUUAGACCGUUUCUGAAACCAGUAGUGAAGUAUGUUGUUUAAUUUGAUAAUCCGCAAAAAACCUUACCACAAUUUGAAUAUUUAUAUUUUUUUUUAUUGUUUUUCUUUUUAAUUAUCUUCC
rnacentral:rRNA from 1 species